rnacentral:rRNA from 1 species
GCAACGCGAAAACCUUACCACCUUGACAUGUACGGAAGCCUUAGAGAUAGAGGCGUGCUCGAAAGAGAGCCGUAACACAGGGUGCCGCAUGGCUGUCGUCAGCUCGUGUCGUGAGAUGUGGGUUAAGUCCCGCAACGAGCGCAACCCUUGUCAUUAGUUGCUACAUUCAGUUGGGCACUCUAAUGAGACUGCCGGUGACAAGCCGGAGGAAGGUGGGGAUGACGUCAAGUCCUCAUGGCCCUUAUAGGUGGGGCUACACACGUCAUACAAUGGCUGGUACAAAGGGUUGCCAACCCGCGAGGGGGAGCUAAUCCCAUAAAGCCAGUCGUAGUCCGGAUCGUAGUCUGCAACUCGACUACGUGAAGUCGGAAUCGCUAGUAAUCGUGGAUCAGAAUGUCACGGUGAAUACGUUCCCGGGUCUU